CCUACGGGAGGCAGCAGUGGGGAAUAUUGGGCAAUGGGCGCAAGCCUGACCCAGCAACGCCGCGUGAAGGAAGAAGGCUUUCGGGUUGUAAACUUAUUUUCUGAGGGAAGAAGAAAGUGACGGUACCUCAGGAAUAAGCCACGGCUAACUACGUGCCAGCAGCAGCGGUAAUACGUAGGUGGCAAGCGUGAUCCGGAUUUAUUGGGUGUAAAGGGCGUGUAGGGGGGAGAGCAAGUCAUAUGUGAAAACUCAGGGCUCAACGCUGAGCCUGCAUUUGAAACUGUUUUUCUUGAGUGCUGGAGAGGCAAUCGGAAUUCCGUGUGUAGCGGUGAAAUGCGUAGAUAUACGGAGGAACACCAGUGGCGAAGGCGGAUUGCUGGACAGUAACUGACGCUGAGGCGCGAAAGCGUGGGGAGCAAACAGGAUUAGAUACCCCUGUAGUC
rnacentral:rRNA from 1 species